UGGGGAAUAUUGGUCAAUGGAUGCAAGUCUGAACCAGCCAUGCCGCGUGCAGGAAGAAGGCCUUCUGGGUUGUAAACUGCUUUUGCCGGGGGAUAAAAAGCCCAUGCGUGGGAACUUGAAGGUACCCGGUGAAUAAGCCACGGCUAACUACGUGCCAGCAGCCGCGGUAAUACGUAGGUGGCAAGCGUUGUCCGGAUUUAUUGGGCGUAAAGCGCGCGUAGGCGGUUUCGUAAGUCGGGUGUGAAAACUCCAAGCUCAACUUGGAGCCUGCAUCCGAAACUGCGAUGACUCGAGUCAGGUAGGGGAACACGGAAUUCCAGGUGUAGCGGUGAAAUGCUUAGAUAUCUGGAGGAACACCAGUGGCGAAGGCGGUGUUCUGGGCCUGUACUGACGCUGAUGCGCGAAAGCGUGGGGAGCGAA
rnacentral:rRNA from 1 species